rnacentral:lncRNA from 1 species
GUACUUUUCAGAGUAGAUGGAUGUACAGAACUUUGAAAGACAGGAAGAACAGAGCAAAGCACCCACCUGCCCAGCCUCCCACCAGUAAUCCUUGCUGAUGCAACUGGGAAUAUUCCCUGAAGCGUAGAGGUGGUGUGACCAGUGACACUGGAACAAGAACCAGUGUAAUUAAAUUUUAUUGCCCCUGGAGCCCUUUUAUUCCUCUCAGCAUCUAGUUACUGUGAAAACAGAGGAACGGUUAUGGGCUGGAAGGAGUGUUUUCUAACAGAAUCACAGAAUGAUGGGUUGGAAGAAACCUCAAGAGACCAUCAAGUCCAACCUGCUGCCAAAGCAGAUACCCUACAGUUGGUC